GAUGAACGCUGGCGGCGUGCCUAAUACAUGCAAGUCGAGCGAACGGACGAGAAGCUUGCUUCUCUGAUGUUAGCGGCGGACGGGUGAGUAACACGUGGAUAACCUACCUAUAAGACUGGGAUAACUUCGGGAAACCGGAGCUAAUACCGGAUGAUAUUUUGAACCGCAUGGUUCAAUAGUGAAAGACGGUCUUGCUGUCACUUAUAGCUGGAUCCGCGCUGCAUUAGCUAGUUGGUAAGGUAACGGCUUACCAAGGCAACGAUGCAUAGCCGACGUGAGAGAGGGAUCGGCGACACUGGAGGGGGGACACGGUCCAGACUCCUACGGGAGGCAGCAGUAGGGAAUCUUCCGCAAUAGGCGGAAGCCUGACGGAGCAACGGCACGUGAGUGAUGAAGGUCUUCGGAUCGUAAAACUCUGUUAUUAGGGAAGAACAUAUGUGUAAGUAACUGUGCACAUCUUGACGGUACCUAAUCAGAAGGCAACGGCUAACUACGUG
rnacentral:rRNA from 1 species